rnacentral:rRNA from 1 species
GCAAGUCGAGGGGUAACAUUGUUGCUUGCAACAGAUGACGACCUGCGCACGGGUGCGUAACGCGUAUAGAACCUACAUUAUAUUGAGGGAUAGACCAGAGAAAUUUGGAUUAAUACCUUAUAGUAUCAUUUAGAUGCAUAUUUAGAUGAUUAAAGAUUUAUUGCUAUAAGAUGGCUAUGCGUUCUAUUAGCUAGUUGGUAUGGUAACGGCAUACCAAGGCUACGAUAGAUAGGGGUCCUGAGAGGGAGAUC